UCUCAUUUUCGAAAAUCUCUUCCCAUUUCCCUCAACUUCUCUUCCCCGAAUUUGCACCCCAUCACCCAAAUCAAUUUGCACAGCUUCACUGGCCUCAAUUUUCCUCUCAAUCUCUCAAACAUAACCUAGACGUUGUUGCUCAAGCUCUCGUUGGAUCUGUGCUCGCCGCUCAAGCCCUCCUCACACAUGUGCUCGCCUGAGCUUUCCGUGUAGUUCUCAGGUAUGUGUUUAUUUAUAUUUCUUUCACAAUUCAUUAUUCUCUCCCUCAAGGUUUUUAGGGUUUGUUUUAUUCUCCCUAUUUCUUGAUUCCAAUUCAUGAAAAGCUUAAAUUGCAAUUGGAAUCUAGCGAGCUUGAGAUGUGGAAAAUUGAAUUGGAAAAGCGUGAGACACAUAGUGAAAGUGAAAGAAGCAUCAAGGGUUGCUUUCUACCUCGGUGUUGUCAUGGGUAGCACAGGUGCUUUGCAGGGUUGUUCCCAUGUCUUUUGUGGAUGACAUUAUUGUACAUUGGUUUCCCUAAAGAAUGAGUUUUUAGGGUGAUGUGGUGUGAAAUUGGGUACCAAUUGUGGAAGAAAAAUAUGUUUUUUUUUUUUUCCCAGUUGGUGUGAGGGAAUGUAAAGUUUCUAUGUAGUGAGAGAGACACUUCAAGAACUGAAAAAUUGGAUUUUUCUUUGUGGGUUGUGGUCUUUUGCUUUUAGCAAUGUGGAUAGAAAUCAAUUGUUGAGGAAGCUGGUUUUUACUUCUGGUUUUUGGGAGUGGUGUCUUUGUUGUGGGGGUGGGGUGUGUUGCAGAAAUGAGUGACUCUGCGGUGUAGAAUUUGGCUAUCACGGAGAAGAAGGUGCAAAAGCCUGGUGGCUGUGUUGGGAUUUUCCUUCAGCUCAUUGAUUGGAAGAGGAGAUUUGCCAAGAAAAAGAUCUUCUCUCAUAAACUUCUGACUCCUGCUCGUGCAAAGAAGUUUAGGGGAGAUGAGAAAAUGCCAAAUUCCAAGCAACAUCUGGUUGAGCUUUUGUGCAUUAGAGAGAGGAUCGGUGGGUUUCUAAAGACGUUGGUUAUUCUGGUCAUCCUAUAAAAGCUCAUUUGAUGAUUAAGUUUGACCAAACUAGGCCAUUUGGAUAUGGGGAAUAUAUCUUCUUUGAGCUUGUGCCCCUUUUCUUGUGUCAUUUUGUAUUUUCAAUAUUUCUUUUGAUUGAAGCUUGCUUUCUACAUUUGCAGUUUUCUUCAAGGCUGUGUCAUUGACAUCCUAUCGCAACUGAUAUAACCAUUGGGUGGUUGUCAUUUUGGAUUUUGUGAUUUAGGUUGGUGAUGGAGUGUUUGAAGUGUUGUCUACUUCCGGUGAUACAUACUUUGGUGGUGAUGACUUCAAUUAGAAAAUUGUUGAUUGACUGGCUGCAAGCUUCCAGAGAUAUAAGGUAUUGACCUUUUGAGAGACAAACA